UGCAGAUAAGGUGAUGCUUUGAUUCAAACGGCAGGAUACACCACACAGGAAAAAUGAAAAACAGCUGCCUCUGCUAACUUGAGAAACCCGCUGUCUAUGCAAGUUAAAUAAAAUGACACGCACCAGUCUCUCUGCUCUCUUCGUAACCAUCUGGUUCUCAGGUCUCGUCUCUGGAGAUGCAUCUUGGGACAUAUCUGUGUGGCAAAUACCUGAGAUAACAACAAAAGAAGGCACCAAUGUCCUCAUCACCUGUCAUAUUAAAGCUGAUUCACGCGUGGAAGGAAUCAUGGUUAAGUGGUUGCGAGAUAAUCAAACUAUAGUGGAGAGUGAAGCGAUUGUUAAGUCUGCCUAUCCAUCGCCUGCAAAUGGAUCUGUGUUUAUCAACGCAACGCUGCACCUGCAGUCAAUAAGUCUAAAUCAUAGUGGCAUGUAUUACUGCACAGCACAUAUGAAUGUACCUGCACUUGGAACUGUUGAAUAUGGAAAUGGGACGCACGUGUAUGUGGCAAUUGUAGUGUCUAAUUCAAGUACAGCGAUAACACCAACUCUCCCACCUGUGACUCUGGGAUUCCCACCAAACCCCUAUAAUUCAGACAUAGUGAUGUGGUCCGUUCUAUCAGGCUUGGGUUUUGUUUUGCUGAUCAUCUGUAUUGCCUGUGUCAUUCACAUACAUUAUAAAGUAGGACACUGCAGAAUAGAACCUAGAGCAAAAGAAGCCCUGGUUGAUGCUACCCGUGGAUCACAAUGCCCGGACACUCGUGAAACUGUUGUUUAUGCAGCAUUAAGCAUUCCUCGAGACAGUGUGAAAUCAAGAAACGAGAACUGUCCAGCUCCGACACACACUUCAGUGAGCUGCACCGAGGAAUCAGUGACAUACUCUGAGGUCCACAUAAAGAAAGGACCAAAGGAUGAAGGUUAAGCAUUAUUUGCCAGAAUUUUAUUCACACUGUAAUCUCUUUCGCCUUGCAUAUGACUGUCAUCGACAGUCUUUUAAUGGCACUUCAAGCUUUUGGUCCUGUUUGGCCCAAUUUAGUAAGGGUAUUUCUGUAAAAGUGUAUUUCUCUUUGUGUUUCUUCGUGUAAUACUCAUGAAGACUGAAUUAUUAAAUAUUGUCGGCUCACUUUUGAGUCUAUUUUAAGAUGUAUUGUGCUCAAGGUGC
rnacentral:lncRNA from 1 species